UCUGUGCUAAGGUAGCAUAAUCAUUAGUCUUUUAAUUGGGGACUGGUAUGAAUGGCUAAACGAGAAAUCAGCUUUUUUUAUUAUAUAAAUUUAAUUUAUUUUUUUAGUGAAAAAACUAAAAUUUUUCAAAAAGACGAGAAGACCCUAUAGAGUUUUAUGUGGUAAUAAAUUAAAUUAUACUAGAUUUAUAUUAAUAGAAUUUUGAUCCACAAUUUGUUGGGGCGACAUUAAGAAAUACCAAACUCUUUUUUCUAAAUACUUUUAUAAAAGUAAGAUUUGAUCCUUUAAAAAAGAUCAUAAGAAAAAAUUACCUUAGGGAUAACAGCGUAAUCUUUUUUGAGAGUUCUAAUCGACAAAAAGGUUUGCGACCUCGAUGUUGGACUAAAAUUUAGGCAUGGUGCAGUAGCUUUGCUUUAGGGUCUGUUCGACCCGUAAUAUUUUACACGAUCUGAGUUCAGACCGGCGUAAGCCAGGUUGGU
rnacentral:rRNA from 1 species